UGCUAACUUAAACCAUGCCCAUGAGGUAGC
rnacentral:piRNA from 1 species